GCCUGGCUGGCUCGGUUGGUAGAGCAUGUGAUUCUUGAUCUCAGGGUUGUGAGUUUGAGUCCCACGUUGGGUA
rnacentral:tRNA from 1 species